rnacentral:misc_RNA from 1 species
GAGAGAGAGAGAGAGAGAGGAACUCAUUCCCACAAUGUUUAUAAGUCCCACAAUGUUUAUAAGUAUAUCAAAAACACAAAUCUCUUAGCUUUCACAUCCAAAGGGUAAAAACUGUUAUGAAAUAACAUAUAAACCAGACGUGAUAUUCAAAUAAGUAUCAGAGGGAGUUUAGCUAUUGUCACUACAAAAAAAAAUUAAGACAAAAAGAAGAAGAAAGAAACCCAAGUCAUCUAGCGUAUCAUGACUCCUUGAAAGGCAUCUCACGAUGAUGUUCUAAAUCAAGAAGUAGACAUUAACAGUGUUUAUAUUUGUGUAAAACUACUCGUAUUUAAAGGAACUAUUAGAACAUUCGAUCCAAAGUUUUUGGGAUUUGGAGUGUAACUGAACAAUUGAAGUAAUUUUGGGAUAUAUAUGUGCGUGUGUGUGUAUUAUGAACACCUGUUCAAAGAACAUUGUCGGAAACAGAAAAGUGGUAAUCAAUUGACCAAGAAUACCGGCACCCUAGUGGGCAUAAAAAACUUAGUAGUUAUAGCAAUUAUUUUCAAAGUUCAUAAAACAAGAUAGUAAAAGUUAUAAUUCAGCUAGUUCCCAUUUCAAAAUUAUUUAUAUUUCGGGCAUGGGAUCGAAAUGAUUGCACUAAUAAAAAGACAUAGUUUGAAAGUUUCAGUAAAUGCAUAUGACUGCUCCAAAUUUUCAACUUCUUGAAAAAAGCUAUGGACUAUAAAUAUCAAACGCCAAACACCAAACACCAAACUUCUGUGCUAAGC